rnacentral:rRNA from 1 species
CAACCUGCCCACCACUUGGGGAUAACCUUGCGAAAGUAAGACUAAUACCCAAUGACGUCUCUANNNNACAUCUGAAAGAGAUUAAAGAUUUAUCAGUGAUGGAUGGGGAUGCGUCUGAUUAGCUUGUUGGCGGGGUAACGGCCCACCAAGGCAACGAUCAGUAGGGGUUCUGAGAGGAAGGUCCCCCACAUUGGAACUGAGACACGGUCCAAACUCCUACGGGAGGCAGCAGUGAGGAAUAUUGGUCAAUGGACGAGAGUCUGAACCAGCCAAGUAGCGUGCAGGAAGACGGCCCUAUGGGUUGUAAACUGCUUUUAUAAGGGAAUAAAGUGAGUCUCGUGAGACUUUUUGCAUGUACCUUAUGAAUAAGGACCGGCUAAUUCCGUGCCAGCAGCCGCGGUAAUACGGAAGGUCCGGGCGUUAUCCGGAUUUAUAGGGUUUAAAGGGAGCGUAGGCCGGAGAUUAAGCGUGUUGUGAAAUGUAGACGCUCAACGUCUGCACUGCGGCGCGAACUGGUUUCCUUGAGUACGCACAAAGUGGGCGGAAUUCGUGGUGUAGCGGUGAAAUGCUUAGAUAUCACGAAGAACUCCGAUUG